CCUACGGGUGGCUGCAGUGGGGAAUAUUGGACAAUGGGGGCAACCCUGAUCCAGCCAUGCCGCGUGUGUGAAGAAGGCCCUCGGGUUGUAAAGCACUUUCAGUGAGGAAGAACGCCUGGUGGUUAAUACCCAUCAGGAAAGACAUCACUCACAGAAGAAGCACCGGCUAACUCCGUGCCAGCAGCCGCGGUAAUACGGAGAGUGCGAGCGUUAAUCGGAAUUACUGGGCGUAAAGCGCGCGUAGGUGGCUUGAUAAGCCGGUUGUGAAAGCCCCGGGCUCAACCUGGGAACGGCAUCCGGAACUGUCAAGCUAGAGUGCAGGAGAGGAAGGUAGAAUUCCCGGUGUAGCGGUGAAAUGCGUAGAGAUAGGGAGGAAUACCAGUGGCGAAGGCGGCCUUCUGGACUGACACUGACACUGAGGUGCGAAAGCGUGGGUAGCAAACAGGAUUAGAUACCCGGGUAGUC
rnacentral:rRNA from 1 species